UACAGAGGUCCCGAGCGUUGUUCGGAUUCACUGGGCGUAAAGGGUGCGUAGGUGGCGAGGUAAGUCGGAUGUGAAAGCUCGGAGCUCAACUCCGAAAUGGCAUUGGAAACUACCUUGCUCGAGGGUUGGAGGGGGGACUGGAAUGCUUGGUGUAGCAGUGAAAUGCGUAGAUAUCAAGCGGAACACCAGUGGCGAAGGCGAGUCCCCGGACAACUCCUGACACUGAGGCACGAAAGCUAGGGGAGCAAACAGG
rnacentral:rRNA from 1 species